UACGUAGGGUGCAAGCGUUGCCCGGAUUUAUUGGGCGUAAAGGGCGCGUAGGCGGCUCUGCACGUUCGUUGUGAAAUCGCCCGGCUCAACUGGGCGGGGUCAGCGGAUACGGCAGAGCUUGAGCAAGCUAGGGGGCAAUGGAAUUCCCGGUGUAGUGGUGGAAUGCGUAGAUAUCGGGAGGAACACCAGUGGCGAAGGCGACUACCUGGCCUGUUCUUGACGCUGAGGCGCGAAAGCUAGGGGAGCAAACGGGG
rnacentral:rRNA from 1 species